rnacentral:rRNA from 1 species
CGUAGGUGACCUGCGGAAGGAUCAUUACAGUAGUCACCCGGGUUGCCGCAAGGCCUCUCGGGUAACCUACCACCCUUUGUUUAUUACACUUUGUUGCUUUGGCAGGCCUGCCUUCGGGCUGCUGGCUCCGGCCGGCGAGCGCUUGCCAGAGGAUCUAAACUCUGUUUGUCUAUACUGUCUGAGUACUAUAUAAUAGUUAAAACUUUCAACAACGGAUCUCUUGGUUCUGGCAUCGAUGAAGAACGCAGCGAAAUGCGAUAAGUAAUGUGAAUUGCAGAAUUCAGUGAAUCAUCGAAUCUUUGAACGCACAUUGCGCCCCCUGGUAUUCCGGGGGGCAUGCCUGUCCGAGCGUCAUUACAACCCUCAAGCUCUGCUUGGUGUUGGGCCCCGCCGCCCCGGCGGGCCCUAAAGUCAGUGGCGGUGCCAUCCGGCUCCGAGCGUAGUAAUUCUUCUCGCUCUGGAGGUCCGGUUGUGUGCUUGCCAUCAACCCCCAAUUUUUUUCAGGUUGACCUCGGAUCAGGUAGGGAUACCCGCUGAACUUAAGCAUAUCAAUAAGCGGAGGAAAAGAAACCAACAGGGAUUACCUCAGUAACGGCGAGUGAAGCGGUAACAGCUCAAAUUUGAAAUCUGGCCUCACGGUCCGAGUUGUAAUUUGUAGAGGAUGCUUCGAGCAUGGUUCUGGCCUAAGUUCCUUGGAACAGGACGUCAUAGAGGGUGAGAAUCUCGUAUGCGGNCAGGUGCCUACGCUCAUGUGAAGCUCCUUCGACGAGUCGAGUUGUUUGGGAAUGCAGCUCAAAUGGG